UACGUAGGGUGCAAGCGUUAAUCGGAAUUACUGGGCGUAAAGCGUGCGCAGGCGGUUUUGUAAGUCUGUCGUGAAAUCCCCGGGCUCAACCUGGGAAUUGCGAUGGAGACUGCAAGGCUAGAAUCUGGCAGAGGGGGGUAGAAUUCCACGUGUAGCAGUGAAAUGCGUAGAGAUGUGGAGGAACACCGAUGGCGAAGGCAGCCCCCUGGGCUGACACUGACGCUCAGGCACGAAAGCGUGGGGAGCAAACAGG
rnacentral:rRNA from 1 species